rnacentral:tRNA from 3 species
GUACCCGUAGCUCAGCUGGAUAGAGCGUCGGCUUGCGGAGCCGAAGGUCGUAGGUUCGAAUCCUGUCGGGUACACCA